rnacentral:rRNA from 1 species
GUCCACGCCGUAAACGAUGGAUACUAGCUGUUGGGCAACUUCAGUGGCUAAGCGAAAGUGAUAAGUAUCCCACCUGGGGAGUACGUUCGCAAGAAUGAAACUCAAAGGAAUUGACGGGGCCCGCACAAGCGGUGGAGCAUGUGGUUUAAUUCGAUGAUACGCGAGGAACCUUACCAAGGCUUAAAAUGGGAAACGACAGGUUUGGAAACAGACUUUUUCUUCGGACGUUUUUCAAGGUGCUGCAUGGUUGUCGU